rnacentral:rRNA from 1 species
UACGGAGGAUCCGAGCGUUAUCCGGAUUUAUUGGGUUUAAAGGGUGCGCAGGCGGGAGAUUAAGUCGGCGGUGAAAUUUUGCAGCUUAACUGUAAAAGUGCCAUCGAUACUGGUUUCCUUGAGUGUAGAUGAAGUAGGCGGAAUUUGUGGUGUAGCGGUGAAAUGCAUAGAUAUCACGAGGAACUCCGAUUGCGCAGGCAGCUUACUAAACUACUACUGACGCUCAGGCACGAAGGCGUGGGGAUCAAACAGGAUUAGAUACCCCCGUA